AAAUUGAAGAGUUUGAUCAUGGCUCAGAUUGAACGCUGGCGGCAGGCCUAACACAUGCAAGUCGAACGGUAACAGGAAUCAGCUUGCUGAUUCGCUGACGAGUGGCGGACGGGUGAGUAAUGUCUGGGAAACUGCCUGAUGGAGGGGGAUAACUACUGGAAACGGUAGCUAAUACCGCAUAAUGUCGCAAGACCAAAAAGGGGGACCUUCGGGCCUCUUGCCAUCAGAUGUGCCCAGAUGGGAUUAGCUUGUUGGUG
rnacentral:rRNA from 1 species